rnacentral:rRNA from 1 species
AGUGAACGCUGGCGGCAGGCCUAAUACAUGCAAGUCGAACGGCAGCACAGCAGAGCUUGCUCUGUGGGUGGCGAGUGGCGGACGGGUGAGGAAUACAUGGGAAUCUGCCCAGUCGUGGGGGAUAACGUAUGGAAACGUACGCUAAUACCGCAUGCGCCCUACGGGGGAAAGUCGGGGACCGCAAGGCCUGACGCGAUUGGAUGAGCCCAUGUUCGAUUAGCUAGUUGGCGGGGUAAAGGCCCACCAAGGCGACGAUCGAUAGCUGGUCUGAGAGGAUGAUCAGCCACACUGGAACUGAGACACGGUCCAGACUCCUACGGGAGGCAGCAGUAGGGAAUAUUGGACAAUGGGGGCAACCCUGAUCCAGCCAUGCCGCGUGAGUGAAGAAGGCCCUCGGGUUGUAAAGCUCUUUUGUCCGGAAAGAAAGCAAUCGGUUAAUACCCGGUUGUCUGACGGUACCGGAAGAUAAGCACCGGCUAACUUCGUGCC